rnacentral:rRNA from 1 species
UGUUGAUAGAACAAUGUAGAUAAGGGAAGUCGGCAAAAUGGAUCCGUAACUUCGGGAUAAGGAUUGGCUCUAAGGGUCGGGCUCGCUGGGCCUUGGGGGAAACCCCUCGGAGCAGGGGGGCACUAGCCGGGCAACCGGCCGGCGCCCCCCAGCACCGGGUGGGGGACGCCCUUGGCAGGCUUCGGCCGUCCGGCGGGCGCUAACGACCAACUUAGAACUGGUACGGACAAGGGGAAUCUGACUGUCA